GCUGGGCAUUUUGGCACAUGCCUGUAAUCUCAACUACUCAGAAGGCUGAGGUAGGAGGAUUGCUUGAGCCCAGGAGGUUGAGGCUGCAGUGAGCUAUGAUCUGCCACUGCAUGCCAGCCUGGACAAUAGAGCGAGACCUUAUCUCUU
rfam:Pan troglodytes isolate Yerkes chimp pedigree #C0471 (Clint) chromosome 19, whole genome shotgun sequence.